rnacentral:rRNA from 1 species
UACGUAGGGUGCGAGCGUUAAUCGGCAUUACUGGGCGUAAAGCGUGCGCAGGCGGCUAUGCAAGACAGAUGUGAAAUCCCCGGGCUCAACCUGGGAACUGCAUUUGUGACUGCAUGGCUAGAGUACGGUAGAGGGGGAUGGAAUUCCGCGUGUAGCAGUGAAAUGCGUAGAUAUGCGGAGGAACACCGAUGGCGAAGGCAAUCCCCUGGACCUGUACUGACGCUCAUGCACGAAAGCGUGGGGAGCAAACAGG